AAGGAGGAAACUGAAAAUCCUAUAAUAAAUAGAGUAGGUA
rfam:Aequorivita sublithincola DSM 14238, complete genome.